GUGACCUCAAAUCAGGUAGGAGUACCCGCUGAACUUAA
rnacentral:rRNA from 1 species